CCUACGGGUGGCAGCAGUGGGGAAUAUUGCACAAUGGGGGAAACCCUGAUGCAGCGACGCCGCGUGAGUGAAGGAGUAAUUCGUUAUGUAAAGCUCUAUCAGCAGGGAAGAAAAUGACGGUUCCUGAUUAAGAAGCACCGGCUAACUACGUGCCAGCAGCCGCCGUACUACGUAGGGGGCAAGCGUUAUCCGGUUUUAAUGGGUGUAAAGGGAGCGUGGACGGCAGUGCAAGUCUGGAGUGAAAGGCGGGGGCUCAACCUCCGGACUGCUCUGGAAACUGGACGGCUGGAGUGCAGGAGAGGUAAGUGGAAUUCCUAGUGUAGCGGUGAAAUGCGUAGAUAUUAGGAGGAACACCAGUGGCGAAGGCGGCUAACUGGACUGUAACUGACGUUGAGGCGCGAAAGCGUGGGGAGCAAACAGGAUUAGAUACCCCAGUAGUC
rnacentral:rRNA from 1 species